GAUCAUGCCUCAGGACGAACGCUGGCGGCGUGCUUAACACAUGCAAGUCGAACGGAGCACCCUUGAUUGAGGUUUCGGCCAAAUGAUAGGAAUGCUUAGUGGCGGACUGGUGAGUAACGCGUGAGGAACCUGCCUUUCAGAGGGGGACAACAGUUGGAAACGGGACUGCUAAUACCGCAUGACGCAUUUUGAUCGCAUGGUCGAAAUGCCAAAGAUUUAUCG
rnacentral:rRNA from 1 species